UUGAAAUGAGCCUGUCUCUCUGCAUGCAUGAGCUCCACUUUGGGGCAGCGAGGCACCCACCAGUGCCACCACAAGUGUGGUCUGGUGGCUUCCAGAACCUCACCCACAUUGCCUGGAUUGUAUGCUUAGUUGCUGAUGAGAAUGUUUUUGCAGGUGUAUGGAAUGAUUCGGUUCUCAGGCACCACAGGCCAGAUGUCUGACCUGAACAAAAUGAUGGUCCAGGAUCUACAUUCAGCUUUAGACCGCAGUCAUCCUCAGCACUACACGCAGGCGAUGUUCAAGCUGACCGCAAUGCUCAUUAGCAGUAAAGAUUGUGACCCGCAGCUCCUUCAUCAUCUGUGCUGGGGUCCCCUCCGGAUGUUCAAUGAGCAUGGCAUGGAGACGGCCCUGGCCUGCUGGGAGUGGCUGCUGGCUGGCAAGGAUGGAGUGGAAGUGCCGUUCAUGCGGGAGAUGGCAGGGGCCUGGCACAUGACGGUGGAGCAGAAAUUUGGCCUGUUUUCUGCUGAGAUAAAGGA
rnacentral:sRNA from 1 species